AGGUGGGAGGCUUUGAAACCAGGACGCCAGUUUUGGCGGAGCCAUCCUUGGGAUACCACCCUUGUAGUACUGGGACUCUAACCAUAGGCCAUGAAUCUGGUCUUGGGACACUGUCAGGUGGGCAGUUUGACUGGGGCGGUCGCCUCCCAAAAGGUAACGGAGGCGCUCAAAGGUUCUCUCAGUACGGUCGGAAAUCGUACGUAGAGUGUAAAGGCAAAAGAGAGCUUGAUUGCAAGACAUACAGGUCGAGCAAGGAUGAAAAUCGGACUUAGUGAUCCGGUGGUUCUGCGUGGAAGGGCCAUCGCUCAACGGAUAAAAGCUACCCUGGGGAUAACAGGCUUAUCUCCCCCAAGAGUCCACAUCGACGGGGAGGUUUGGCACCUCGAUGUCGGCUCAUCACAUCCUGGGGCUGUAGUAGGUCCCAAGGGUUGGGCUGUUCGCCCAUUAAAGUGGUACGCGAGCUGGGUUCAGAACGUCGUGAGACAGUUCGGUCCCUAUCCGUCGCAGGCGUAGGAAAUUUGAGAAGACCUGUCCUUAGUACGAGA
rnacentral:rRNA from 1 species